UACGUAGGGCGCAAGCGUUGUUCGGAUUUACUGGGCGUAAAGGGCGCGUAGGCGGCAGAUCAAGUCAGUUGUGAAAUCUCUGAGCUUAACUCAGAACUGUCAACUGAUACUGCUCUGCUAGAGUGCGGAAGGGGCAAUCGGAAUUCUUGGUGUAGCGGUGAAAUGCGUAGAUAUCAGGAGGAACACCGGUGGCGAAGGCGGUUCUCUGGGCAUUACCUGACGCUGAGGAGCGAAAGUGUGGGGAGCGAACAGG
rnacentral:rRNA from 1 species